rnacentral:rRNA from 1 species
UACGUAGGGUGCGAGCGUUGUCCGGAAUUAUUGGGCGUAAAGAGCUCGUAGGCGGUGUGUCACGUCGGCCGUGAAAACCUGCAGCUUAACUGUGGGCGUGCGGUCGAUACGGGCAUCACUGGAGUUCGGCAGGGGAGACUGGAAUUCCUGGUGUAGCGGUGAAAUGCGCAGAUAUCUGGAGGAACACCGGUGGCGAAGGCGGGUCUCUGGGCCGAUACUGACGCUGAGGAGCGAAAGCGUGGGGAGCAAACAGG